CCUUGCAAAAUAUCCCGGCUUCCUGUCUCUCUUUUCCAUCAGGAUAGGCGCCUAGAUCUGCAUGCAGUCAAGCCUGCUUUCUUCAGUCUGCAGCUUGCUCAAUGUCUCUUCUGUUGGUGCAGCACUAACACAAAAAAAACAAACAAA